rnacentral:lncRNA from 1 species
GAAGGGCGGGUUCCAGCCCGCUCAGCUGGCCAUGAACUGGACGAUGAAUUUUAACCUCCACACCACAAGCACUGGGGUAGAAGACUGCUGCUGGGUGAAGAAGAGACUAGACUUGAUCAUUGAGCAGCCACUCACUGAUAUCUUCAGUGCUGCAUGAGGAAGGACUGGCCCCUGGGAUUUGCUGCUCAGGACCUGAGUUCACUGAGACAUCAGGAGCAAGCACUGGAGGCUGGGUGCUGCUGGACCCAGAUGGGAGCCAUGCAGGACUUGACCAUGGCCUGCACACACUUCUUCCCAGGAGAAGGGGAAUGAGGAAGAACUAGAUCCUAAGAGCAGAAGACAAUCAUAUGUCCUGAGAACCCAUUGGAGGUUGAACAGCGCUGGGUGGAUGGAGAAAGGCAGAAAUGCAGAAUUUCGUCAUUGCCUGGAUGCUGACUUUAUCCAAAGAGAAGAUGCAUGAGGAGUGUACAUGCCUCAGAACUGGAUGCUGAGACAUGCCCCCGCGAUCCCAAGACCACCAGGUACCGUGAGCAAUCACUGGAGCUGGAACACUGCUGCCUGAGGAAGAGAAGAAGUGCAGGCUUGUCAUUGUCUAUGCUGUUACUUGUGGUUCCCGGGUCUUCAGAGAGGAUGCACAAGAACGGGAGAACCGGCCCCUGGGAUUUGCUGCUCAGGACCCGAGUUCAGUGAGACAUCAGGAGCAAGCACUGGAGGCCGGUGCUGCUGGACCCAGAUGGGAGCCAUGCAGGACUUGACCAUGGCCUGCACACACUUCUUCCCAGGAGAAGGGGAAUGAGGAAGAACUGGACCAGAAGAUUUAACUUCCAUACCACAAGCACUGGGGUAGAAGACUGCUGCUGGGUGAAGAAGAGACUAGACUUGAUCAUUGAGCAGCCACUCACUGAUAUCUUCAGUGCUGCAUGAGGAAGCAGAGUUUAUUCUUCUGGAUUUGGUGGUGGAUUCUGGUGAAGAUACAGAUGGAUGCUCUGGCUGAGUCGCUACCUUGAAAUGAAAAUGGGAGGUAAACUCUCCCAUAGAUGAAUCUUCUUCAUUUUGAAGGACUGGCCCCUGGGAUUUUCUGCUCAGGACCCGAGUUCACUGAGACAUCAGGAGCAAGCACUGGAGGCCGGUGCUGCUGGACCCAGAUGGGCGCCAUGCAGGACUUGACCAUGGCCUGCACACACUUCUUCCCAGGAGAAGGGGAAUGAGGAAAGUGGGGGGCCUCAAAGCUUCCUUUCCUUUCUGUUUGUCUUGCUAUGUUUUUAUAUUCCUUUUUAUCCAUUUAAUUAUUUAGUACAAAAUCAGGUCCAGUCUCCUUAGAUAUGGCAUUGAUAUAAAGUGUAAAAUGGAAGCUAAAUUCUAGGAGUACAGCAUUGCAUGCUUCUGACAGAGACAAGGAAGGCUAGAAUCACACAGUUAGUGGACACUGCAACUAUAUUGACAUUUUUUUUUUUUUAGACUGUGAAGGUGGGGACAGAUUGCUGCACUCAGAACACCUUCCCUGCUCUGGGGAAACAAACACUGUCAUCAUGGGGAAAAUGUUUCCUGUAGACCCACACAAGCACACACCCCUCCUCCUACAUCCAGCUUCUCCUCAGCCAUUUUGAAGCAGGGAAGAUCAGGGGGAUUCAUGAAUGGCGAAAUUUGGCCUUUUUUAGUGUAUUUCUCUCCUUCUGUAGGCAGACUGGCAUCACCUGACCCUUCAGAGUAUUAACUCAGACCCUGGUGACUGAGGUCCAGUACCAAGUGCUCAGCUGGGCUGCGGUGCAGGGACAGGAAGCAGAAGGGCAGAUUCAACCCCCCUCAGCUGGCCAUGCUAAUCUACUAGCUGGUGUCCUAGGGCAGCAAGGCGCCUCCCUCUCCAGGAUCUGAUGAGAAAACACUGCAGUUCCAGUUUCUUUCGGGGCUUGAAGAGAAGUCAAGGAAGCCCUGCAAGGCACUCACAGCUGAUCAUGCUUUCUGUAAUCGCCCUCCAUCUUCCUUCAUUGCUAGGAAUCAUUGGAAGGACAACAGCGGAGCUGUGAGUUUUGAAACCGCGUCCUCAUGGGGGCAGUAGAGGUCCACACAAGAGCUUAACUGGCCCCUGGGAUUUGCUGCUCAGAACCUGAGUUCACUGAGACAUCAGGAGCAAGUACUGGAGGCCGGUGCUGCUGGACCCAGAUGGGAGCCAUGCGGGACUUGACCAUGGCCUGCACACACUUCUUCCCAGGAGAAGGGGAGUGAGGAA